UAAGAUCUAAUGGUCCUUAAUCUUUCGAUGUUUGACGCAACAAACCACGCAUCCAGUGUUUAACACUUCAAGCCAUCCAUCGAUAAAACUGCCCCGCUGUUCAGAAAAAACAAACAACGCACGCCUCCACGUCCUCUGGCACGACCUCGACCUCUCGCCCCUGCUCCUCCUCCCCCGCCGUUCGCCCUCUGCCCGUUCCUCGCCGCACCUCCCGAGCCUCCCGCCGCUCCUCCAUUCCUCCGGAGCCGCCUGCCACGCCCUUCGCCGCGGGAUCCCCUUCGUCGCGAGAGCCGCCGUCGAGCCCGUCCAUCGCGCCCGAGCCGCCCCGGAGCCGCCCUUCGCCGUGGCCCGCAGGUCGCCGAGCCGCCCUUCGACGCGGCCCGCAGGUUCCCCAGCCGCCGCCCUGGAGCCACCCUUCGCCGCAAGUCGCCGCCGCCGGAGCCGCCCUUCGCCACAUGUCUCCUCCCUUCUAGCCGCCCUGCCCUCACCGCUCUUGUCUUCAAGCCCAAGAUCAAGUUAUUAUUGAGGACAAAUGAAGGGGUGCAUUGCAAUCUAGAUUUGACUAAAUGUGUGGCACAAUCUGUUGACAAACACAUUUACGUUUAAGUAUGUGUAGUAUGCUUCAGGUAAUUAACCACAACAUUUGUUUCGUCAAUUAUUUCCUUUUCAUUCAGUGAAUGUCCUUUUGUUAAAAAGCGUGAGUUGAAUGUGUAAGUACGGAAAAGGUUCUCCCAUUGGGUUGCCACUACAACGAAAUAAACAUGUAAAUGACUGUUAAACAUACUCUAUUUUUGUAAUUCAAAGGCAAUGUUUCUGCCGGUCUCUUGAAAGAAAUAAAAGAAAUGCAGCCUUUAUAACUGAAUCUCUACAUUCAUUUUUGGAGAUCAGAGAGCUAUAUAUUAACUAGUUAUUAUGUUGCACACUGCAUUCAAUUUAGUGAGCUUGUUAUUUUUCUGAUCGGAUUCAGUGGUAAUGGAAUUGGGUGGUGAAGAAAACUAGCAAGCUGCAUAGGAGAAAUUCAUAUGUGCACCCGCAUGAAUAAUAAUUUUCCAAAUGUCAAAUAGUUCUAGAAAAAAUAUACAUAUAAAUAUCUGAAUCAUCUGUGUCUUUGUAAAAUUAGUGGAAAAAUGAUUUGGAAGGAUGAGGUUGCUUUAGUCUUGACCACGAAGUGCUCUCUGGUAGCGCUGUCGCGGCCAGUCGGCCACUCGCUCUCCAAAUCCUGCAGCUGUGCAUGGGUCCGAUGGACAGGCAUGGCGGCUCAAACCUGCGGGCUCCACGAUCACCACGGCGCUGCCUCAUGGCCUUGCCGCUGGCACUCACCGAACCCUCACCGGAUUGUCGACCCCACAACUAACCAUCACCCUCAUCUCAUUAGUUGGCUUCCCCCUACUGGAUCUGAAUUUUUUUGGUUGGUUUGCAAAGUGCAGAUGUGUGACCUCCUCUAUGAUGAAGGCAUCGAGGAGAUGAACUUUUGCUUCUCAAGCUUUGAUUUAGUUGAGAUGUUUAAGCAAUAUUGGUCACUUCCAAGUAAAUUUUAUGAUGAUGUGAUAUAUGUCUACUAAUUUCCAUUUUUUCCCCUUUGUGUUCAGGUAUCUAUACUAAAGGUUGCAGUACAACACUAGUUGGUUACAAUUUUGUAGAUUUCCUUUUACCCUUAGUUUGUGCUCCCUCCGAUCCAAAUAUAAGUGCCGCAGCUUUGAACUAAGGUGUUCAACCUUAGUUCAAAACUGCGACACUUAUUAUGGAUCGGAGGAAGUAGUAAAUGCCCAUUAGUAUAGUCCCUUAAGGCCUAAAAAGUAGCAUAGGAUAUGGGAGCAAAAGGUUCAAUGAAAACUUUUAAAACCUGAGGUGCAAGUAUAUUUUGUAGGCUUGUGGAUUGUGGUGCAUGUUCACAUGUACGAGCUAGAACUUCCUUUGUGUUGGCGGAAGUGUUAGCCUGCCAUUAUCAGUUGAGUAUAGGGCCUGACCAGCGUUUUGGUCUUUCAUUUACUUUUUACCAACUCAAGUAAAAUGUUUGAAAUCUUAUAUCGACCACAUCACUAGAAUUUGGUUGGACUAUGGUUGCAUGUUUAAGUCGAAAGAGGGAUCGACCUUCAACGUUACCUCGUCAGGUUGUUUAGUUCCAACGAGGUCUAAAUCCAUUCCCCCAUCUUGUGCCGAUUGCCUUCUUAGUACUAAUGUUUCCCCUUAGUGACAUUGUCUAUUUGGUGUCCUUUUUUGUAUAAAAUUACUUUAUGAUGUUCAUCCUGCUAAGCUGCAGGGGUAAUAGUGCUUCCAGUAUUUGUAAUUUUGAAAGUGCUUCCAGUAACCAUCUCCGCUCUACAAUAAUAGUGCUUCCAGUCAUGGAUCAGAUGGCUUAGUAUGUGACAGAGGCUCUUUGCUCCAAUCAAUCAGUGGGAGAUCAAAUAGCUUAAGCUUGCUGUACACAAUGCAAUGUAACUAGAAUGGUCUUUAUCUUUUAAUCAGUUUCCCGGUUAUAUUUCUUCUAGAAUUUAGUUUGUUUACUUUGUGAUUUAUUGGCAUUUUGUUAGAUGAUACAUGCUUCUAACUACAAUACAGAUCAGGUCCAAAAUCAGGAUACAUGACAGCUGCAAAGCAAAUAUAUCAAAGUUGCUCGGGUGGAUCUAUUGUGGUUCAAGCUCCUCAGGUGGAUCUAAUCAAGACAACUUAUUGACCGUCUUCCAUUUCAACUGCAGCAAUAUGGGGUGGCGCAUGUGGAGUAGGAGGGUAGAAGAGAAGAUGGAGAAGGUGGUUAUUCUGGCCUUACGUUGAGUGUUGAAUCUGGGAUAUAUGAAAAUACUUGAGUUGAAGAAGAUCCGGUACUGGAUAUAAAUGAUUGAGGAGACGCAUGACUUAAAUAAAAAGAGUUGUGAGAAUAUGAAAUAAGAAAAUUACUGUUUCUGAUUGAGUCUUAAUCUAAAGACGACAUUUCUAUGACGCUUGCAUUCACAAAUUGAAGAAACUGCUGCCGAACACCUUUGUUGGUUGCAAUUAUCCUACAAA